GGCCGGUUAGCUCAGUUGGUUAGAGCAUGGUGCUAAUAGCACCAAGGUGGUGGGUUCAAUCCCCAUAUGGACCA
rnacentral:tRNA from 1 species